AUGUUAACAGUUAUUAUCAGAGAGAAGAUUCAAAACAGCCUUCUUCUUGGGAGAAAAACAACCACCCCACCCCUUUUCCUCCAGACACACUCAGGGAUCCCUGCUACCCAAACUGAGCUAAAUCAUAAUAUGCAGUGGGUCACAUCUAUUUUCUUAUACCAUGUUUCAGCCAUGGCGGCUAAGGAUUGCCCAUCACUGUGGAGCUUUGGAACAACAAAGACGUUCAAAAUUCCCGUGGAGCAUUUGGAUUUCAAGUAUAUUGAAAAAUGUUCAGACGUGAAACACCUGGAAAAAAUUCUCUGCGUGCUGAGGUCCGGUGAAGAGGGCUAUUAUCCUGAACUCACAGAGUUUUGUGAAAAGCGCCUCAUGGGCUUGGCUCCUGGAAGUCGAGCUCUGAGGAAAGAUAAGCCCGCUGCAACGGCGUCCAGCUUCACAGCGGAGGAAUGGGAAAAAAUCGACAGUGACUUAAAGACUUGGGUGUCAGAAAUCAAAAGAGAGGAGAAUAGGAGGUAUUUCCAUGACCCCGAAACAUAUCAAGAAGUGGAAGAUCACCUGCCUCCUGUUCGAGGCUCAGACGACAGUGCUCACAGGGGCAAGGUAGGCCUUUCCGGUACGGGGCUGGGUGGGGGGCAGUGUUGACAGGGGCAGGGUGGUGGCUG
rnacentral:lncRNA from 1 species